rnacentral:lncRNA from 1 species
ACAGUUAUUGUCCAUACUUCUUAGUUAAGUCCGACCUAUCGUUCACAAGCAGGUGCAAGGCCGUCAUUGGAUCCUUCAUCUAACAGUUAUUGGAUCAAACUCCAUCCUUACCUUGGAGCAACUCUUUGCUGAUAGAGUGGUUGUGUGUUCCCGAUGCAACUGAACCACUGUUACCAGCCGAGAACAAUCAACGUCGGUAGCACGUCCGCACAUCUACAACGAUGGAAGACCUAUGGACUUAAUAUUUGUGGGAAGGUUUAGGUUUAGGUCUCAUCUAAUCAAUUAUCAUAUGACCGAUCUAAUUGGAAUGGACUAAACCAAACCGCUAAGCAAUCCAAUUUAAGAUCCAAUCUUUCAAAUUGGUCGGGUAAGUCGAGAUCGGUGGGGGUCCCCCUGUUGCUUUCCUUAGACACUAAUAAAUUGAUCAGAUAAGCGAAUGGAACCAAUUAAAUAACCACGUCUCAAUUACUUGUCUUAGACACCAAUAUGUCAAUUGGUCUAAAUAGGUUAACUCUAGCGAAUCGGGCUCAAAUCGUCGAGCCAAAUUAGGUCUUUACGUGAAUCGAUUCUACAUAUGGGACUCAAUCAAUUUGAUCAACAACAAUUGUAUGAUCAUUUAACUUAAUUGAUCUGAUCCUAAUCAACACUUGACUCGGUUCAAUCAAUUACUUAAUUGAAUUAAACUCGUAUGACUCAAAUCAAAAACCUUAGAUGCA